rnacentral:rRNA from 1 species
UACGGAGGGUGCAAGCGUUGCUCGGAUUUACUGGGCGUAAAGCGUACGCAGGCGGUUUGGUAGGUCGGAUGUGAAAGCCCCGGGCUCAACCCGGGAAUUGCAUCCGAAACCACCUCACUCGAGUGUGGGAGAGGGAAGCGGAAUUCCUGGUGUAGAGGUGAAAUUCGUAGAUAUCAGGAGGAACACCAGCGGCGAAGGCGGCUGCCUGGCCCAUUACUGACGUUCAGGUACGAAAGCGUGGGGAGCAAACGGG